GUGGAGCGUUCCGUAAGCCUGUGAAGCGAUCUGGUAAUGGGUCGUGGAGGUAUCGGAAGUGCGAAUGCAGACAUGAGUAGCGAUAAAGAGGGUGAGAUGCCCUCUCGCCGAAAGACCAAGGGUUCCUGCGCAAGGCUAAUCCGCGCAGGGUGAGCCGGCCCCUAAGACGAGCCCGAAGGGGGUAGUCGAUGGGAACCACGUUAAUAUUCGUGGGCCUGGUGGUGU
rnacentral:rRNA from 16 species